GACGAACGCUGGCGGCGUGCCUAAUACAUGCAAGUCGAACGAAGUGGCGAACGGGUGAGUAACGCGUAAUCAACCUGCCCUUCAGAGGGGAACACCAGUUGGAAACGACUGCUAAUACCGCAUACUGAAGGAGGUGAUUGGGUCUGAUUAGCUAGUUGGGGGGGUAACGGCCCACCAAGGCGAUGAUCAGUAGCCGGUCGGAGAGGAUGAACGGCCACAUUGGGACUGAGACACGGCCCAGACUCCUACGGGAGGCAGCAGUGGGGAAGCUUCCGCAAUGGACGAAAGUCUGACGGAGCAACGCCGCGUGAGUGAUGACGGCCUUCGGGUUGUAAAGCUCUGUUAAUCGGGACGCGGUACCGGAAUAGAAAGCCACGGCUAACUACGUGCCAGCCGCCGCGGUAAUU
rnacentral:rRNA from 1 species